GUCUGGCUGCUAGUACUGUUGAUUGAUCUUGCCUUAGCGCGUGACAAUAUGUUAUAGCAGUUUGAAGACCUUGAUGACGAAAGUAGGAAUUCAACUACUGUUCAGGAGCUUCACAAAGAAAGAACAGCAGCUAAAGAAAUUGAGUGGAAGGCCAUGGCAGAAAAAUAGAGGAGCUUCAAAAAAAAAGUGCAGAAAAAGGAAGAUGAAAAAGAACUUGCUCGGCUCCUGGAAGAAGAAAGAGAGAGGUCAAGAACACUUACAGAUGGCCUCCUCAACAAGAUUGAAAUUGCUCCCACUGCCCAGACGGCUACAGUGCAUGUACCGGCCAUCAGGGAAAUGCUGGUGCCAGCUAUAUCUCCAGGUGAUCCACUGCAGCCAUAAGAAGUGUUGCCAGAGGGUUUAAAUGAAG